UACGGGGGGGGCAAGCGUUGUUCGGAAUUACUGGGCGUAAAGGGCUCGUAGGCGGCCAACUAAGUCAGACGUGAAAUCCCUCGGCUUAACCGGGGAACUGCGUCUGAUACUGGAUGGCUUGAGGUUGGGAGAGGGAUGCGGAAUUCCAGGUGUAGCGGUGAAAUGCGUAGGAUAUCUGGAGGAACACCGGUGGCGAAGGCGGCGAUCCUGGAC
rnacentral:rRNA from 1 species